rnacentral:rRNA from 1 species
GCAAGUCGAACGAGAACUUGGAGCUUGCUCCAAGGGACAGUGGCAGACGGGUGAGUAACGCGUGGCAACCUACCCUUCACUACGGAACAACAGUUGGAAACGACUGCUAAUACCGUAUACGUCCUCCGGGAGAAAGAUUUAUCGGUGAUGGAUGGGGCCGCGUUAGAUUAGCUUGUUGGUGGGGUAAUGGCCUACCAAGGCGACGAUCUAUAGCGGGUCUGAGAGGAUGAUC